GACUGCAGUUUAACUCCCACAUGACAUUGGCUACAGUCUCUUCAAGGCUGAGGACUACCCUGUGGAAUAAGUCCCCACCAUGAGAAGCCAGCUAAGAGUGCCUCCCUGCAAGGCUGCAAGUUGUCCCCUGCUUGCUGAGCCAGACACCCACAGAGAGAUGCAGAGCUGUCCACACCAUGCUCAUUUUCAAUGCUCUAAAGCAUCUCAUCAAAGGCAGGCUAAGCCUUCAACAUUCAACAGUCAGCCUAAGAGUACGGGAAGAGCAGCUCUUCAAAUCCAGGCUAGCCACUGCACACAUCUGUCAGAUGGGGGAACAGACAAGAAUACUGCCUGGCCCCAGCUCAGAGCCACAAGAACUAACAGCAGAGACAAACAAGUGGCUAAUGUAUUGCUGAGACUGCCAGUUUUCCAACCUCCAGGCAUUGUAACACAAGGGCUGUGUCCAUUGAUGACGUAAGUCAGGGCUUUAACAGCCUUCACAUUUCAAAAAAAACAACCCCAAACAUCCCGGCUAACUGUAGUUGCUUAACCAAACCACAAGCAUUCGCAAGUACCCACCACAAUAUACUGUUGGGGCUGUUAAAAAAUAUUUGCAACAGAUUGUAUUCACAAGCUCUUGCACCAUUAAACAGACACUUCUUACCUUAA